rnacentral:tRNA from 1 species
GCAGUGGUGGUUCAGUGGUAGAGUCCUUGCCUUCCAUGUGGAGACCAGGGUUCAAUUCCCAGCCAGUGCA